UACGGGGGGAGCAAGCGUUGUUCGGAUUUACUGGGCGUAAAGGGCGCGUAGGCGGCUUGUUAAGUCAGGGGUGAAAUCCUGGAGCUCAACUCCAGAACUGCCUUUGAUACUGGCGAGCUUGAGUUCGGGAGAGGUGAGUGGAACUGCGAGUGUAGAGGUGAAAUUCGUAGAUAUUCGCAAGAACACCAGUGGCGAAGGCGGCUCACUGGCCCGAUACUGACGCUGAGGUGCGAAAGCGUGGGGAGCAAACAGG
rnacentral:rRNA from 1 species